AAAGUGAGUUUUCGUGUGGGAAGUAGUUUAAUGACUUUCAAAUUUAUCAAUGUUUAGUGUUUUUAAAUAUAGUUUUCGGAUGGAAAACACUUUUAAAGAAUAGAACUGAUUGCUGUAAUGUGUAUUGACAUCAUCCUUCGCCUAAGGAGUGUUUAGAGUAUGCAUCAUUGUAAGGAUGGUUAGCUAAAUGGUUAUCUGACAUCCACAUUGUGUAUGUUUGUUUGUGUGAGUGGAUGAGUGCGUUGUUGUGUAUGUUAUAUUGGUACGCCGUGUAGAUACAGGAAAGACUCUGUCUGUGUGGACAGAGAGAUUUCUAUAUCUAUGGCGGGUCUAUUACGUUUUGGAGACAAGUUGUAAUUUUAAAAAAAUAUAGGCAUUUU
rnacentral:lncRNA from 1 species